AGGGAUUUAGCUUAGUGGCAUAAGUGUUUGCCUGGAAAGUAAAAGGUUGUGAGUUUGAUCCCCAGUACCCA
rnacentral:tRNA from 1 species